UGCCAUAAAACUUAAAGUUCCAGCUUGACCUCUGACACUGGAGACUCCUUCCAUACAUGAUACAUAAACACACUUCUCCUUACAGAAAACUUCACCAUAUCCCUGUGAAUGAGCCGUUACUAUAGAAACAAUAACGUAUUGUUAAGAACAAGUGCAUUAACGUAAACCUGCACUAGGGUUAGAGCACUACUGUCAGAGCUGCUGUUAUAGAAAACUGGGAAAACUGGGUGUUAUGUACUUUAGGGAAAGUCAACGAAGAUCGGAUCAAGAGCCACCGAACAGAACCCUGAGUAAACUCUCAGAACAGCCAGACGGGAGAGAAGCCCAGAGGUACACCGUCGCCCAUCGAACCGUCAUCAGGCUGUACAGGAAUCUGCAGUCAUGCAGCAAUAUAAAGGAGUAUAAAGGUCACGAUCACAGAGCAGAUUGUUGCAUGUAUCGGGACAGUUCAGGAGUGUGCAGCCAUUACAGGUUCACUUCAGCGUCUCAGAGCGGUGAGGAACCUCUCCACAGGGAACAGACUUUAGAAAUCGCAGAAGGUGUCUCUCGCUCAGAGAAACAGGUGCCCAUCGCUGAAGUCCAGACAUUUUCUCGAGGCCGGAGCGAUAGUGAAAGUCAUGACGAUAACCUGCCCAGAACACAUCGCCUCCUUUUCUUCAUCAUCAUCCUCAUCCUUCUCCUCCUCACGCUCUUGGUUUUAAUCCCCUACAUGCAAUACGAACAGACGUCACCGUGCUUUUAGAGAUAUUCAGCACACUGUAAUAUCUUACACGUAUACACGUGGCGUUCCCAGCACACUCUUCUGAGACAACAAUCAUUAAACCUGUAAACCUCUGC
ensembl:lncRNA